rnacentral:rRNA from 1 species
UACGUAGGUCCCAAGCGUUGUUCGGAUUCACUGGGCGUAAAGGGUGCGUAGGCGGACGGGUAAGUUUGAUGUGAAAUCUCCGGGCUUAACCCGGAAAUGGCAUUGAAUACUAUUCGGCUGGAGGGUUGGAGGGGGGACUGGAAUUCUCGGUGUAGCAGUGAAAUGCGUAGAUAUCGAGAGGAACACCAGUGGCGAAGGCGAGUCCCUGGACAACUCCUGACACUAAGGCACGAAAGCUAGGGGAGCAAACAGG